CAUUUCGUCAAAUACGCAUCAUAAUUUCACAUUCAACAUCUCCUAUUUGUUUGAGGUCCCUUUAAUAAACCAAUAAACUCAAAUUAAGCAUCUGUAUAAAAGAAUUCCCACAAGAAAUUGUUUGUUUUAAUAGAUUUAAUCUCUAAAAUAAAUGAGGAAAAAUCCUAGUAGGUUGGCCAAAAUUUGUCACUAUAUAUGAACAACCUCAGAAAUUUCCAGAAGCUUUAAAAAUCACUCAAAUCAUCUCUCAAAAAUUUCAGCUCAUAAACAAAAUAAAUACCGGCAAGUGACAGAUCCGGGAGAGCAACAAUGGUUGGGCAAGUGCAGAUCCGAGUGAGCAACAACG
rnacentral:lncRNA from 1 species